UACGGGAGUGGCAAGCGUUAUCCGGAAUUAUUGGGCGUAAAGCGUCCGCAGGCGGCCUUGUAAGUCUGUUGUUAAAGCGUGGAGCUUAACUCCAUUUCAGCAAUGGAAACUGUAAGACUAGAGUGUGGUAGGGGCAGAGGGAAUUCCCGGUGUAGCGGUGAAAUGCGUAGAUAUCGGGAAGAACACCAGUGGCGAAGGCGCUCUGCUGGGCCAUAACUGACGCUCAUGGACGAAAGCCAGGGGAGCGAAAGGGAUUAGAUACCCCUGUAGUCCUGGCCGUAAACGAUGAACACUAGGUGUCGGGGGAAUCGACCCCCUCGGUGUCGUAGCCAACGCGUUAAGUGUUCCGCCUGGGGAGUACGCACGCAAGUGUGAAACUCAAAGGAAUUGACGGGGGCCCGCACAAGCGGUGGAGUAUGUGGUUUAAUUCGAUGCAACGCGAAGAACCUUACCAGGGUUUGACAUCCUGCGAAUCUUUUGGAAACGAGAGAGUGCCUUCGGGAACGCAGUGACAGGUGGUGCAUGGCUGUCGUCAGCUCGUGUCGUGAGAUGUUGGGUUAAGUCCCGCAACGAGCGCAACCCACGUCGUUAGUUGCCAGCAUUUAGUUGGGCACUCUAGCGAGACCGCCGGUGAUAAACCGGAGGAAGGUGUGGAUGACGUCAAGUCAUCAUGCCCCUUACAUCCUGGGCUACACACGUACUACAAUGCUACGGACAAAGGGCAGCAAACUCGCGAGAGCUAGCAAAUCCCAUAAACCGUGGCUCAGUUCAGAUCGUAGGCUGCAACUCGCCUACGUGAAGGAGGAAUCGCUAGUAAUCGCAGGUCAGCAUACUGCGGUGAAUACGUUCCCGGGCCU
rnacentral:rRNA from 1 species